AGUCGCGCCACGGGUCGCCACUCACUGUCGCAGGAGGAAGGGUGCUGUCCCGCGCGGGUGCUGAGACCUCAUUCCGGAGAGGCGGCGGGAGGAAGGGCUUUGAUGGGUUCUUCCGUCCCGGCCCCACAAGGCUGGGACGAAAAGCAAAACCCAGUCAGCAUCCCGUUGAGCCUCUGCCGCCCCUGCUUGUCUCUCCUCCCCCGCUCUCAAAAAUGGCGGCUCUCGGGGCGCGGAAGAAAGCAUCGAUCGUUCGGCGCUCUGCCCACUUGGCGGGGCGAAACUAAACUCGCCGAGGAAAGAUAAGGGGGCGGGGCUGACGUUGAGAAAGCUGGAGGGCAGGGAAAUGGGCCGAGUCCUGCAUCAUCCACCGAGUGGGGGCUGUGGAUAGGUGCGGCGCUGCUUCCCUGGAGGGAAACGCUCCAUCUUGCGGGCCGAAGCGCGAGUGCUGCUCUGUGACAGCCUCCGGCCGCGGCCUUCCCAGCUGCUACCGCCGCUUUUCGGAUGGGCUGUGAUAGAUGGAGUAGCAGCGAAGACUGCUAGAAGAGCGUUUUCAGUCGGCCUUUAGUGAUUCGUAAAACCAAAUUAGCUGGUUUCUACUUGGAAGGGGUACAGAAGAUCAAACUCUCCCAAAAAGUAGAGAUUAAACAACAACUAAAGAUGGCGAAUCAUAGAAGUUACCACCAUUCCUGGUAUUGGUCCCAGUUCUUCUAAGAAUAUUUUUGAUGCAAGAGCUGUUUUAUCUUGAAUCCUACAUAGCUUAUUUUCCAUUUUUCCAUUCAAAUAAAACAACAAGAGAACAAUAGAGUGAAGAAAAAGGAUGUUUAAGCCUAAAUCCAAGACUGAGGUACAAGACCAAGAAAAGUGGGGCAGAAGAUGGAAAAGAACAAGUGAAGAAUCUUGGAAACAAUUCAAAGGCCAACCCUGCUUAUUCCUGUAAACCAACCAGUGAUCUCUGGCUGCUGCUUAGAAGAAACAAGAGGGAUGGCUAAUUAAACAGGUUGAAGUAAAGGAGCCAGCCCAAACCCACCAAAACCAAAAUGGUGACGAGAGUGACAUCUGGUCGUCCUCACUGCUACACUCCCACCAGCACCACGACAGUUUACAAAUUCUAUGACAAUGUCAGGAAGUUACCCUAUGUGGUCUAAAAAGAGGAGGCAUGAAUAAUCCACCCCUUGUUUAGCAUAUCAUCAAGAAAUAACCAUAAAAAUAGGCAAUCUGCAGCCCCCAGGCUGCUCUGUCUAUGGAGUAGCUGUUCUUUUUUUCUUUUACUUUCUUAAUAAACUUCCUUUCACUUUGCACU
rnacentral:lncRNA from 10 species